AUAAUGAUCCUUCCGUCCAGCCACAACUGCACGUAAUGGGGGCGGCGGCAUGAGAACCAUGCCGAGGUGAGAGUCCUAUGA
rnacentral:ncRNA from 1 species